AAAAAAGCACUAAUUUUAUAGAAACAAAUGGAGAAUUAACUUAUAUUAAGGUACCUUAUUUGCCUCGUGUCUGGUUUCAGGCAACUGAUUGGCUGAGAAAAUUUAUGUUCGUGAAAACAAUCGGACCAACCAUACCGUCAAUGUACCUAGACAAAAGAUUGGCACACGAUACAAAUUAUGGUCUUAGUUUGUUCAAGCCAAUAGACACUUGCAUGGAAUGGCUACAACAACAAUCCCCUAAAUCAGUCAUAUAUAUCUCCUUUGGUAGUAUGGCCAAAUUAGAAAAGCAACAAAUGGAGGAAUUGGCAACAACCCUAAAGCUAACCGGCAAACCCUUCCUAUGGGUGGUCCGAUCGUCGGAGGAAUCGAAGCUACCCGAGAAUUUCGCAGAAGAGGCCUCGGGGAAGGGGCUAAUUGUGUCGUGGUGCCCGCAGUUGGAGGUUCUGGCCCACGAUGCCAUUGGCUGCUUUGUCACGCACUGUGGAUGGAACUCGACUCUAGAGGCCUUGAGUCUGGGGGUCCCGAUGGUGGGGGUGCCGUGGUGGAGUGACCAGGCUACCAAUGCUAAGUUUGUGAUGGAUGUUUGGAAAAUGGGAGUGAGGGCUUUCCCCAAUAAGGGAGGUAUUGUUGGGCAUGAGGAGUUGUCUCGUUGUGUGAAUUAUGUGAUGGAGGGGGAGAGAGCGGAAGAGAUGAGAGAAAAUGCAUUGAAAUGGAAGGAAUUGACAAAGGGAGCCGUUGAUGAGGGAGGAAGUUCGGAUAGAAAUAUUCAAGAAUUUGUUUCUACUAUGAUGGGAGGGGACCGGCCACAAAAAUAAUUAGGUUCUUGAUUAUUGAAAUAUCUUUAAAUAAUUGGAAAGUUCAUGUAUAUUAACCAUGAAUUUUGAUAUGAUGUAACACAGCUUAAUUUGUAAGAUGCUAUUUUUGUAACUAAUGAAUUGAUGGUUCGACUCAUCUAAAUAAAACAUGAAAAAAAAAAUGAUGGGGCAUUGGAGAACAAUUAUCAUUUAUGUAAAUGUUACUUGCAUCUCUCGUCUAUGUUCAAAUGGGAAUCGCUGCACCCGGCUAUAUUAGGAUUAGGCAAGUAAUUAGACAACAGUUAUUUUUUACUAGUGUGUAACCCGUCGAAAUUCGACGGGAAACCACUUUAUAUUAUAAUUAUUUUUGUACAUUAUUUUUUUAUUAUAGCAUAUGAAAUGAUCUUUAUAUAAAUUAUUUUUAAAUUUUAAUUUUAUUUGACCAAAAUAAAUUGCCGGUAUAGUUCAAGCAUUUUUGCUUGUUAGAAUACGUUUACUUUAAUGGAUAAAUUUAUCAAUGGAAAUAAUAGAUAACAAAAAUUUAUGCCUUUAAAUAUCUCAUUUCUUUUCCCACGUUUUACAUAAAAGAUAAGCGCAUCAUUUCUUCUUCCUUAUUUUCAUUUCAAAGAUGGAUAACAUUAUCACACCAAAAAUGGAGGGAUAAUAUUAUCCAUCCUUGAAGUGAAAAUAAGGAAGGAAAAAUAGUGAACUGGUCUUUUGUGUAAAAUGUGGGAGAAUAAAGGAGACAUUUAAAGACAUAAAUUUUUGUUAUCCAUCUUUUUUCAUAGAUAAUCGCGACCGACUUCAGUACACCCUUAUGUGUUUGUGUAAGCACGCUUAAUGAAUCUUUCGAGUGAUCACCAGUACAGAACACUCGUAUUAUUAUAAUAUGAUGAAAUUUUCAUAAAAAGUUGAUGUGAGGUUGGAGAUUUUAGAAAAGUAAUAAGAAAAAGAUUUAGCUUUAUUUGACAUAGAAUAUAAUGAAGGAUUGACACAUUGUAUUUUUUGUUAAUCUAGGAAAGAUUUACUAAUUUUAUAGGAGUGUAAUUUUUAUAAAUUGACAGCAAAAUUUAAGAUCACAUUUUAUAUAUGAACAUCAUCUCAUUCGAACUUUACAAGACUUUUGAGUAUCAUCUUGUCUAUAGCUUAAAAUAUCACAUUUGACUUUUGUACGUCGAACUUUAAUCAUUAUCUUAUCUGAAGCUUGUUAUAUGAGUUUUGGCUUAUGAGUAUCAUCUCAUCUGCAACUUGAAAAUAUAUAAAACUUGACUUGUAAGCAUCAUCUCAUUUGGAGCUCGUAAGACCAUAACAGAGUUGUGAGAAUCAUCUCGUAUGGAGCUUGAAAGACCAUAACUGACUUGUGAGCAUAAUCUCGUGUGGAGCUUGAAAGACCAUAACUGAUUUGUGAGCAUCAUCUCGUCUAUAGUUUGAUAGACCACAACUGAGUUCUAAGCAUCAUUGAUUUGGAGCUUGAAAGACUGGAGCUGAGUGCUAAGAAUUAUCUCAUUUAAAGUUUCAAAAGCCAUAAUUAAGUUAUGAACAUCAUUUUGUUUGGAACAUGACAAACCACAUAUAAUUUGUGACCAUCAUAUUGUUUGAAGCCAAAAUACUCGUAAGACCAUAACUGACUUAUGAGCAUCAUUUUGUAUAGAGUUUGAAAGACUAUAAUUGACUUGUAAGCAUCAUCUCGUCCAUAGUUUGAUAGAUCGGAGUUUAGUUCUAAUCAUCACUCGUUUGGAGCUUGAAAGACCGCAAAUGAAUGCUAAACAUUAUCUUGUUUGAAGCUUAAAGGAUCAGAAUUUAGUUAUAUAUAAGCAUCAUCUCCUUUGGAGUUUGGCAAGCCACUUACAAAUUAUGAGCAUCAUUUUGUUUGGAGCCAAUUGAGUACAUCUCGUAUGAAGCUUGAUAGACCACCUCUGACUUUUUAACAUUAUCUCGUAGAGUUUGAAAGAUCAAAGUAAAUUUUGAUAAUCAUCUUGUCUAUAGCUACUCCCUCCGUCCACCAAUUAAAGGCCUAUAUGAAAAACACGGGUUUUAAGAAAAAGUGUAUUUUUAUUAGUUGAGUGGAGAAAGGAUCCCACUUUUUAAGAAAAAAUGUAUUUUUAUUAGUUGAGUGGAGAAAUGGUCCCACUUUUUUGUAAAGAAUCUUUGACUUUUUUGAUUAAAUAAUGAAUAAAAACUUAUCAAAAAUAGGUAGGCCUUGUUUUUGUGGAUGGACCAAAAAAGCAAGUAGGCCUUAAAUUGGUGGAUGGAGGGAGUAUAUAAAAACUGCAUACAAUAUAUACUUUUAUUUAAGUUAUGAACUCAAAAAUUAUCAUAAAAAUUCAAAUAACAUAAUUUUAUUUUUAUAAAUCUAUUUUGCAUAGAUUGUAUGUUUGCUAAAAUAUCGUAAAACUAAAUAUUGAAUUAUAAAAUUAAUAAAAUAUAAAUAACAUGAGAAAAAUCAAAUUUAUUAAUUCAUCAUCUUAAUAUUCACAUGAUUUAAUAAUUUAAUUUGUAAAACUUUAUAAAAAAAAAGAUUUAGGAUUCAAAAUUUCUUUAAUGAAAAUUGCAUAAAAUAUACUUCUGUUUAGGUAAUUAACUCAAAAACUAUCAUAAAAAUCAAUGGUGAGAUUUAAAUUUCUUCAUUUUAUUUUUACAAAUUUGUUUUUAUAUAGAUUUUAUAUUUUCUAAAAUUUAAUAAAAAAAUCAUAAAAAUCAAUAUGAUAUUCAAAUUACAUCAUUUUAUUUUUAUUAAAUAUGUUUUAAUAUAAAUUUUUACAUUUGCUAAAGUAUCAUAAAGCUAAAUAUUGAAUUAUAGAAUUAAUAAAAUAUAAAUAACAUAAGAAAAAUCAUGAAUGGAGAUUAAGUGUUUUAUCUAGAUUAUUAUGAGAUUAUUUGGAAAUGAGGAUUUAUUUCAAAUUAAUUUGAAGAACUUAUUUAUUUAAUAUAUAUCUUAGUAUCAUUUUCUUUAUUUCAUAUGACCAAAUUAAAUUGAAUAACCUAUUUAUUUAAAAUAUAUUCAAGUAUCAUUUUAUUUAUUUUAUAUAGCCAAAUUCAAUUGAAUGUGGAAAACUACUAUUGCAAUUAUAUAUAAAAAUAUAAUAUUAUAAUAAUAUAUUAAGUAUUUCUUUAUCUAGAUCUUAGUGAUUAAGUUCAAUAGAAUAUUAAUGUGAGAAUGAUGAAAAGCUAAAAUAUGAAUGAAAAUUAAGCUUUUUAUUUAGGUUAUGAGUUUAAUGUGAAAAUGAGAUAUUUCAAAUUAUAUAUACAUGAUCAAAUUAAUUGAAGAACUUAUUUUUAAUAUAUAUCUUACUAUCAUUUUCUUUAUUUUAUAUGACAAAUUAAAUUAAAUUACUUAUUAUUUAAAAUAUAUUAACGAUCAUUUUAUUUACUUUAACAAGUUCAUUUAAGAUCUAUUGCAGUUAUAAAAACUGUGGAAAACUAUUUUUUGAAAUACAUAUUAUAAGUAUUUCUUUAUCUAUAUUUUCCAAUGUUAAAUAUAAUAUAAUGUGGAAAAAAUAGAUGCCUAAUGUCUACAUGAAGAUUGAGCCUUUUAUAUAGAUUAUGAAUUGAUGGAGUUUAGAAAUUUCAAUGUGGGAUGAUGAAGAAAAAUGUAAAAAUGCCAUAUAUAUAGAAUUGAGAAUAUCAAAAUACUAACUUGGGGAGUGCCACAUAGGAUAGAGAAUAAGAGAGGUCUUCAAUAUAUAGGACUGACAUUAUUGAAUAAAUUUUAUUAUUGUCAAAGUAAUAUUAGAUAAAUUAAAUUAUUUUUUUAAUAAAAAUAUAACUAUCUAUUUGGCCAACUAAAAGUUAAAUUGAUAAAAUUAAAUUGAUGAAGCAAAUAUAUAAAUGAUGAGAUACUACACAAGUAUUUAUAUAAUCUUUGAUCAAGAUGGAGUUUAAUUAAAAAUCAAUUUGGGAUAAGAGAUAUGACUUGUGAAACGAUGAGAAUGAAGGAGAAUAGAAAUUUUUAAAAUUGUGAAUUCUAGAUAUUAUACAUUAGCAAGAUUUUGCUAAUCAUAUUUAAUUAACAAUUAUAGCAAUAUAAAUAUAAUCGAUACAUUUCAUAUUUUGUAUUUUUUUGGAUUCAUCGUAUGCUUCUUUAUUGUAACAGCCCGGCUCCAGACUUGACGAUUGUCCCCACAGACCAACACGAGUCUUUUCUAGCGUGUUUUGUCCUCACUCGCACGCUCUCCGAGAAACUUCCCAUUGGGUCACCCAUCCUGAAAUUGCUUCAAGCCAAGCACGCUUAACAUUGGAGUUUCUUCCACAUGGGCACCAGAAAAGAAGAUGCAUCUUGUUGAUAUGAGUAGCACCUAUCAAAUCAUUUAAGCUCUCAUCGAAUAUGCAGUCCCAUACCUGCAUAUUCUCAGAAUCCAUCUCGUUCGGGUGUGUUCCAAUUCAUCCCUGCGCCCCUCCGCUUGGAAGUCUUAAUCGGAGCCGCUCCUGCCUCUUUUGCACCGGCGAUCACUCCGCACUUCGUCCCCGGGCGUCACAGGCCCACCAGCUUCUGCUUGGUUCGUCCCCGAACCACACCAUACUGGGAGAGGUUCAGCUCUGAUACCACCUGUAACAGCCCGGCUCCACACUUGACGGCUGUCUCAACAGACCAACAUGAGUCUUUUCUAGCGUGUUUUGUCCUCGAUCGCACGCUCCCCGAUAAACUUCCCAGGGGGUCACCGUCCCGAAAUUGCUCCAAGCCAAACAUGCUUAACCUUGGAGUUUCUUCCACAUGGGCACCAGAAAAGAAGAUGCAUCUUGUUGAUAUGAGUAGCACCUAUCAAAUCAUUUAAGCUCUCCUCGAAUAUGCAGUCCCAUACCUGCAUAUUCUCAUAAUCCCUCUCAUUCAGGUGUGUUCCGGUUCAUCCUUGCGCCCCUCCGCUUGGAAGUCUUAAUCGGAGCCGCUCCUUGUCCGUGUGCCUCUUUUGCACCGGCGAUCACUCCGCACUUCGUCCCCGGGCGUCACAUUUAUUGAUUAGUAUUUUUAUAUUUAUAUCUAUUAUGAAUUACUUCAUUAAAAAUAAUGAUUAGAUAUUAUGUAAAUAUUAUAUAUUAAAUAAAAAAUAUAGUGCGAAAAUUUAAAAUUACAUUAUUAUAUAUAUAAUAGAUAUGAAUUUUCCAAAUUUAUAUGCAUCUUGUAUAAAUGCACAUUAAUAUUGCUUAUGUAAUGGUUAAAUAUAUAAGGAAAGAAAAAUAAUUAUAUAUAUAAUGAUUAAUUGAAUUAAUAAUAAUAAUUUAAAAUAUUAAAUGUAGGAAACAAAGAGAAUACAUAAUACUUGUAGAAUUCAAAGAGUGUAAAAUAAUGAAUUGUGAGAGUGCCACAUAGGAGAGAGAAAGAUUAUUGACUCUUCAACAUGUAUCUUUUUUUUAUAUAUUAAUAGAUAGAUUACUUCUUUCCAUUUGCAAUUAAUGUCGGCAGUUUUAAAUUGUCUAAAAAUUGCGAUCACAUCGUCAAACUAGAUUAAUAUUGUCAUCUUGCAAUUUGCAAAUGCAUGCAAGUUCGUUUCUCCUUUUGAAUUCCAUGCAUGUCACUUUGCAAGUUCGCUUCUCUGAAUUCCAUGUCACUUUACUUUUUUAAGGGGGGUAUUUUGAUCAAUAAAUCUAUGCAGCCACAUUGUGGCCACCCACACACUAAUAUAAUAAGGAUAAUAUUGAUUUAUUUAAUUUAUUUUUUUAAAUAAAAAUAUGAUUUAGUUAUUUUAUUAUAUUCUCUACAUUGUUCUUAUUUUUUUUAAUUUUUUUUUGCAUUUUUUAUUUUUUAUUUAUUUGUUAAUAAAAAUAAAAAAUUACCAAAAAUUGCAAAAAAAUAACUAUAAUGUAGAGAAUAUGAUAAAAUAAUUAAAUCUUAUUUUUAUUUUAAAAAAUAAGUUAAAUAAAUUAAAUUAUUUUCUACUUAAGUAAAUUGUGGGUAGCCACAAUGUGGCUGUUUAGCAUUACUCUAUUUUGAUUAAAAUCAUAAUUAAUCUUUUUCUUUGAUAAAUUAAAAUUCAUAAUUAAUCUUAAUUGAUAUGGAGAGUUACUUUGUAGAAUAAGGCAACGGGCAACUUUGCAAUAUUCCUAUUUUAUUUUUACAAUCAUUACAAAAUAAUAAAUUAAAUAAAUGACGCAAAUAAAAAAAAAAUUCAAGACAAAAGGAAUGUAUACCACAAUUUUCAAUUUUCAUAAGGGUUCCACAGUGGCACAACGAUCAGAUUUCAUCAAUUUUUAUUCUACCUUCUCUGUUUCAUUAGUAAUUAUCCACUAUUUUUUAAUGUUGCAAUUGACCCAUCCAAUGGUGAAUCCAGAGGGGGGCUGAAGCCCCCUCCCAUUUUUUUGAGUUAAAAAAAAAAAUUAUACAUAUAGAUAUGUAGUAUCAAUGUGGUAACAGUGGUGGCAAUUAUAUUAGUGUCCAACAUUAAUCAUGAUUCAUUUUUGACUUAUUGUAUUAAUCAUGAUUCAUUUUUGACUUAUUGUUAUUAUUUUAAUUAUUUUCUGUUUCAUUUAUUUUUCAUUUCCGACAACGCAUUAUCCUAGUCCAACUUUUGUACCAAUAAGAAACACUCAAUCCUACGUAUCCAACUUCUUCUUUAUUUCUUUUUUCUUUUUUAAUUUUAUAUAUUUGGAUUAAAAAAAAGUCACCUUUCCAACCACUCCUAGACGUAACUGGUCUAUGAUAAUUUACCAAUGUGGUAUAUAUAACCUAACCUCGUAUGCUCAUAUAUACCUUAAAAUCAUCUUCAAUUCUCCUACGUUAAUUGCAAUAUCCUAAACCAAAACAAAUUAAAGAAAUGGAGAAAACAGCUCACUGUGUAAUCCUGCCAUAUCCCAUCCAAGGCCACAUAAACCCCAUGAUCCAAUUCUCCAAACGCUUAGCCCACAAGGGCAUCGCAGUCACCUUCGCCGUCACAGAAGACGUCCCCGUCAACGAAUUCUCCGCCGACAUCUCCGUCGAGACCAUCUCCGACGGCUACCAUGGCAACAGAGCCGACGCCGCCUUGCCGGAGUAUCUGCUCAUCUUCCGAAAGGCCGGGACGGAGUCGCUGUCCAAACUCAUCCAGAAGCUUCGAGAAGACGGCCGCCCCGUCGACUGCGUCGUCUACGACGCGUUCCUGCCGUGGGGGCUCUCCGUCGCGAGGGAUUUGGGGCUGUUUGGGGCUGCGUUUUUCACGCAGUCGUGCUGCGUCAACAUCAUCUACUACAAUAUAUUCAAAGGGUUGCUGAGAGUUCCGGUUUUGGAGAAGGAGAUCUCGGUUGCUGGGCUGCCGGCGCUGGAGGUUUCCGAUCUGCCGUCGUUUGUUCUUGAUCAGGAGGCGCAUCCCGGCUCGCUCGAGCUGGCUCUGAGCCAGUUUGAAGGCGUGGAGGAUUGUGAGUUCGUGUUCGUUAACUCGGUUUAUGAGCUCGAGGAAGAGGUAUAUCUCCCUCCGUCCACCUUUUAGUACUCCCUCCGUCCACAAUUUAAAGCCCCACUUUGGUGUGGGCACAGAGACUAAGAAAACUAAAAAAUGUGAUGUGGAUGAAAUAUAACCGUAGUUGACUAAAGUGAUAAAUAUAGUUGACUAAAGUGAUAAAGGUGUUAUGAGUGGGUCCACUAGUGAUAAAGUGUAGUAAAUAUAGAAUAUAAAAAUGAUAAAGGUGCUUUAAGGUGAGUCAAUUAAUGGCAAAAGGGUAGUAAAUAUAGGAAAAGAAAAAGAGUAAAAGUACAAAAAGUAGAAUUGAGCUUUAAUUUGUGGACAAAAAAUUAAGGGUAAAUUUGGUAUAAAACCAUAAUAAAUUUUCAAAUUUUGAUUUUUCCCACAAUCUUUCAUUUUUGUUUCAAAAUUCAUAAUAAAUUAUUUUUUUUGGAAUUUCCCACGAUGGCAGAUUCCAAUAAAAAAUUUAAAUAACGUGUCAAUACAAUGUAAUUACAUGAAAAUUAUGUGACAUGACAAUCUAAUUGCCCCUUGCGUUUUAACUGUGCUUGAUCCCGUUAGAGCUGCGCUUGGGGCGGCCGUUAAAACGUGGGGGCGUUUUGCUUCAAUUUUGAAACGUUGAGGUAGUAAACAACGCCAACCCUGACGUUAGGAUGUUAAAGGCGAUAGAGGUGUCAACGUUGAGGGGGAAAGUGGUACUUAACCCUUAAAUAUGCCACAUCAUUCAAGUUCGGCGCCACGUCAUUUAAAAAAUUCGCUGGAAAGUCACACUAUGGGAAAUUCCAAAAAAGUGAUUUAUUAUGUAUUUUGAAACAAAAAUGAAAUUUUAUGGGAAAAACCAAAAUUUGGAAAUUUAUUAUGGUUUUAAACCAAAUUUACCCAAAAAUUAAAAGCCAGUAGGGCUUUAAAUUGUGUACGGAGGGAGUAUCUAUUAAUUGAGUGAAAGGAGUUUUAAUAAAAUGUGAUUGAGUGUAUUGUGAAUAGAAUAAUGAUAUCAACUUUUAUGUGAGUGUUAAAAUAAUUAAAGUAGAAUAAGAGUUCACCUACUUUUAUUAAAAAUAAAAAUAAAUAUCAAAUAUCGAACGUCCAAAAAAGAAAGAUUAAUAUUAAAAAUUGGAAUGGAGAGAGUAAUUAUUCAAAUUAAUUAAUCAUAUAUGCCAAAAAUGAAAUAGAAACUUUGGAAUUAUGCUGGGUUGGUUUUCAUGCUCAUAUAUUGCUUUCAUGGUAUGCUUCAUUUCUUCACGAGAAUUAUAGUGUGAUAUAGGACACGCAUUUUAAUAAUAAAUGAAAUUUAAAAUAUAUGUAUAUCUACAUAUUUAAGUCAUUGUGGCUUAUGAUGCACGGAUUCUUCAAAAAUUAGCAUGUACGGCGAAUCGGAUUCUUUUAGGGUGUGAUUCUCUCGGAUUCUCGUCGGAUUCGCAUCCGAUUCGCCACGUGGCGUAUCUUUUAAAACAAUUUAUAAAAAUAAACCGGAUUCGCAAAUUCCAUAGGCGAAAUUCACGUAUCUCGUGCACGAAAGGCCUACACAAGAUUAUUUUGAUAAUUUUAUUUUCAGUUAUAACUUAUAUAUUGGACUAAUAAUAUUUGAAUCGUUAUAUUGUUGCUCAAUUAACUUAUAUAAUUGAAAAUGCUUAACUUUUGGGUAAAAUAAAAUGUAAAUUACGUAUAAUUAAUUUUAAAAAAAUUAAAUUGUAUAUAUUUUAUAAGCAUUAUAUAUCAUAAAAUUUUAAUAAUUAGAUGUAUCCUUGCCGAAUCGCACCCUAUAAUUUUUAAAAACUCGUAUCCCCGUACUCGUAUCGUAUCGCCCCGCAUCCGCACCUCUGUCCGUACCUAUGCAACAUAGCUUGUGGCUAACUGACAUUAAGUCAUAUUCAUCUAUUAUAUAAUAGGAUUAAGCCUUAACCUAUGUGGCUUAUCUAAAAUCUCACCAUUUCAAAAUUUACCAUAUAUAAUCUUCAUCAUUUAUUAAUUAAUUAACUAUUACAUUCUAUAUAAAAAUUCAUUAAUCAUAAUAAAUAUAAUUAAUAAUAAAUGUAUAUAUAUAAUAAUAUUAACAUUACAUAUAAUCUAAAUUAAUAAAUUUUAUUAUUUAUUUUUUCUAGAUAAAAAUUAGAUUUACAUGUCUGAUAAGAAAAAAAUCAUAAUUUAUAUACAAUAAAUUAUUUUAAUUGAAUGUUAGUGAUUAGAUGUAUAUUUGUUAUUAAUUUUAUAUUUCUCAAAAGUCGUAUAUAUUAUAUGUAUAUGUUGCAAUAUAUUAUACUGUAUGAAUUAUAUAUAUAUAUAUAUAUAUAUAUAAUAUUUAUCUUCUUAAUUUUCAAUAAAAUCAAUUUUAAAUUGAGUUUGAAUUGAGACAUGCACGUGUAUGUAAAUUAUAAACGGGUUCGGUCAUUGAUUUACAUGUUUUAAUAAUAAGGCAAAAAUUCUAUAACCUGAUUACUUUAAAACAAAAUCUUAUUUUAUGUCUAUCAAAAUAAUUAAAAUUUUAUUUUUAUUUUUUAUAAAAUAUAUCCGUACAUUUUAUUUGUAUAGGGAAGAAAAAUAUAUUUUUCAUAUCUAAAAACUUUAUUUGUUUCAGUUUCGUCAAUAAUAAUAAUAAUAAUAAUAAUAAUAAUAAUAAUAAUAAUAAUAAUAAUAAUAGAUAAAUUAUGAAAUUAGUAAUGCAUAAAUGAAGAAUUUAGAUAAAGAACAAUAGAGGAUAUGAUGUUAAAAUACAUUACAAAUCUUUAAUUAUGUAUUAAAUUUAUAAUAAUCUCAAUCGAGUGAAGAAUUCAUAUAAAUCACCUCAUUUCACAUUGAUUUUUUUUAUAAGGUUUCACUAAAAUAAAACUUAUACAAGAAGAAGCUCUUGCUCUCCAAAUUAAAAAUCUAUAUUUAAUUGGCGGAAUGAUUGAGACUAAUACAAUUUGAAUAUCUCCAAGCGAGAUGAUUCCCGAAACCCAAUUAAAUGAUGAUACUCACAAGUUAAAUUUGUUCUUUCAAACUCUAAACGAGAUGAUUCUUGGAACCCAAUUAUAAUAUUUGAAGCUAAUAAUGCAUAAAAGUUUGUCAAGAUUUUUUCAAGUUCCAUACAAAAUGAUGUUUACAAGUUAGUUAUGAUAUUAGAAGCUUACAAGUUCCAUAUUCGACGGGCUAAAAUAUAUAUGUUUAGAAGUAGUUAUGAUCCUACAAGCUUAAGAUGAUAAUGAUCUUUAAAGCUGCACACGAAAUGAUUUUUGUAACUUAGUUGUGGUCAUUAAAAGUUCAAAUGAGAUGAUACUCACAAGUUAAAUUUGUUAUUUCAAACUCCAAACGAGAUGAUUCUUGGAACCCAAUUAUAAUAUUUGAAGCUAAUAAUGCAUAAAAUUUUGGACAAGAUCUUUUCAAGUUCCAUACAAAAUGAUGUUUACAAGUUAGUUAUGAUGUUGGAAGCUCCAAAUCAUAUAAUCUCAGAAGUCAACUUUGAGUUUUGAAGCUAUAUCGUCUUUCAGGCGAUAGAUGAUAAUAUGAUCCUACAUAGUUUAGACGAGAUGAUGCUCAGAUGAAAAUCUUCAAUCUUAUAUCGACAUUUUUUCAAAACAUUAUUAAAUAAAAAUUUAUAUAAAAAUAAUAUUUAUUAUUAUAAUAAAAAUUAACAUUUAAUUAAAAAAUAUGGUCCAGAUUAAUAUAAUUUCAAUUAUAUUACCUCAAAUUAAAUAAAUUUAAAAAUAUUUUAUAUAUAAAUAAUUGCUUAUAUAAAAAUAAUAUUAUAUAAUUUAAAUAAUAAUAUAAAAUAAAUAUCCUCUAAUUUAUAUAUAAAUAAUUGCUUAUAUAAAAAUAAUAUUAUAUAAUUUAAAUAAUAAUAUAAAAUAAAUAUCCGUCGAACUUCGACGGGUUAUACACUACUUUAUUUAUUACCAAUUUGUGUUUUGCUUCCUAGCACGGCAGAUCGAUCCUAUCAUCGGCCCCCCAAAAGAGAAAGUAACGACAAAGAUUGGGACCAUGAUGUGAUUGUUAUAAAGUUUAAUUUAUUUUUUAAUAAAAGAAUAUAUAAUGUUCUUUGAAAAAUAAUAAUUUAUAUAUAAUUAUUUUAUUUUAUCUUUAUCUAUUGUUGCACGUAUAAUUUUUUACAAAUAUUAAAUAAUUCCAUAUAUCAUUAUUUAUUGGGCAAAGGAGUAAUAAUUUUUAUGUAACAAAAUUUAGUUACAUCUGCACAUAUAUGUAUCUAUAAAUUUUUAUAAAAUAUAAAAAUGUAAUUAAGUAAAUUUUGGCUCUUACAAUAAUUAACACACUUACUAUAUUUUGUGACAUUCUUUUACUUUUAUAACACGAAUAAUAGUUACUAAAAAGAUAGUUAGAUUUUAUCAUUUUGGGAUAUCCAUCAAAAUUAUUUUUUUUCUAUUUUUGGAAACCAUGUCUAUCACAUGACCCUUUAUCUACUCACAACACAAUUAAUUAUCAUUAUUAAAACUUUUUUUCUUUUUAAGUGCGAACCACUCUCCAUUCAUAAUACACUAAAAAAUUAUAUUUUUUUGUGGACGGAGAGAGUAUAACUUUACUUAUUCAAAAAUCAUGUAACUAAAAAAGCACUAAUUUUAUAGAAACAAAUGGAGAAUUAACUAUUAAGGUACCUUAUUUGUCUCGUGUCUGGUUUCAGACAACUGAUUGGCUGAGAAAAUUUAUGUAUGUGAAAACAAUCGGACCAACCAUACCGUCAAUGUACCUAGACAAAAGAUUGGCACGUGAUACAGAUUAUGGUCUUAGUUUGUUCAAGCCAAUAGACACUUGCAUGGAAUGGCUACAACAACAAUCACCUAAAUCGGUCAUAUAUAUCUCCUUUGGUAGUAUGGCCAAAUUGGAAAAGCAACAAAUGGAGGAAUUGGCAACAACCCUAAAGCUAACCGGCAAACCCUUCCUAUGGGUGGUCCGAUCGUCGGAGGAAUCGAAGCUACCCGAGAAAUUC
rnacentral:lncRNA from 1 species